UCCCUCGCUUGCCAUACACGCCUCAGUCCUGUCUGAUAUAUGGCCCACCCCUGCCCCUGGGAAACACACCCUCGUCCUGUUCUUAUCCUUGGAGCAAAAAUACCUGUCAACAUAACGAACCUGACUAUCACCAACAACAAGAACCCGACGGUCACAGAAACUCACAGGAGAAUUCCGGAAGAGGCUAACAAAGCCUGUGUCUCCGGUCUCUGCGUCUCCGUUCGGGUGGUCUCCGUGGUCGAGUUGUCUGGACCCGUGCCCAAUAUCAAUGGCUACCAUGUGGUCAAGUUUUUGUCUCUGUGAUCUCCAUGCCUUAUCCAACCUAUUUUCAAAGGUUUUAACUGAUGGUGCACUCACUACUGCUUCAGGGAGGCCGUUCCAGAUAUCCACCACUCUAUUACAGAAUGAAUAUUUUCUUAUAUCUAACCUGGCACGUUGUUUAUAUAUCUUCUUACUAUGUCCCCGUGUAGCUUGAUAAUUUUGAUCCAUGAAGAGGCCGCUGCAUAUGUCACUGUCGUACACUCCAUUCAUGAUCUUGAACAAUUCUAUCAUAUCACCUCUUGAUCGUCUGUAUGACAGGGUUGGGAGGCCUAAUUUCUGUAGUUGGCGGGGAUACUCAAAGGGGUGGUAACUUAGCCCCGGAGACGGUUGUAAGUCACGGGUCGCGUGGCAAGUUAGCUCCCCGCUAGUACCGUCCUCCGCAGCGAUGCACAGCGCGGUCGCAGCGGGGUGCUAAGGGUUAGCCCUAAGGUUCAUGAGUGAGGCGGUAGAGGGCCGGCAGCUCACCAGCUGAUGUGAUUGCAACCAAUGGAAAUCACUGAAACAAAGAAGACAGCCAAUCAGGAUCGAGGAAGGUGUUUGUAAACAAACGAUGGAAACUUGGGCAUUUGGUGCGGGGCCGUCUAGCCAGACCACUUGCUACGCUUCCCUACUUCCUUCCAUUCUUCCACCGACUGUUUCAGUGGCAACACCUGACCUCGCAGAGCCCGACCACUCCUCACACCAGUCAUCCGCGCCUCACUUGGCCCAUCCUCAAGAAGACGCAAACACUCCAACUGUUGCUCCAACUCCUCUCCCUGGACGUGACGUGACCAUCUGCGCCUCACUUGCCCCUUCCUCAAGAAGACACAAAAGGAAUGGAGGGGAAGAAACCCCGUAAGGCCAACUUCUCUGAGGCUGAAGUGUUGGCAAUGGUCACGGCCAUCCGUGACAAUUACAGCAUCCUUUUUGGUAAAUUGUCUGCGGGGACGACCCAUUCUACAAAAUUGGCAGCCUGGGCAGAGGUCCAAGAAGCUGUAAAUACAGUGGGGCGGGUUCACCGCGACAUCGAUGAAGUUAAAACCAAAUUCAAACACAUCAAGUCCGACGUCAAGAGGAAAAGGGCGAAGGACCUUCACUAUCAAAAAGGAACAGGUGGCGGCCCAGCACAAAAGACACAUUAUUCAGUGGCGGAAGAAAUUGUGCUGGGCUUAAUUCCUGUGGAGGCCAUCAUGGGCCAUCGUGGGAUUCCAAACCCGGACCAAUUGGCACUGACACAGGAAUACCAGGAUGCUGCAACACCUGCAGAGGAGGAGGAGGAGGAAGAGGAGUGGAGGCAGGUGCAGCCCACCUCCGAGGUUAUGCCUGCGGCCCUUAAUGACCAUUUAUAUGGGGCAUUUAUGGGCACCCAAAUACAGGCAUCAAGGCCCAGGCC